rnacentral:rRNA from 1 species
UGAAAUUGAUCUCCCCGUGCAGAAGCGGGGAUAAUACCAUAAGACGAGAAGACCCUAUGGAGCUUUAGACGUCAGAGCAGCCCAUGUAAAGCACCCCUUAACAAAGGAAAAAACCAAAUGAAGCCUGCCCUAAUGUCUUUGGUUGGGGCGACCGCGGGGAAAUACAAAACCCCCAUGUGGAGUAGGAAUACACAUUCCUAAACCCAAGAGCUCCCGCUCUAAUGAACAGAAAUUCUGACCAAUAAGAUCCGGCACACGCCGAUCAACGGACCGAGUUACCCUAGGGAUAACAGCGCAAUCCCCUUAAAGAGCCCUUAUCGACAAGGGGGUUUACGACCUCGAUGUUGGAUCAGGACAUCCUAAUGGUGCAGCCGCUAUUAAGGG